GUAUGUUCUGAACUUCCUGCGGAAUCGAACUCUUGGUAUCCUGAAGAUUUUAAGCAACUCCACAUGCUUCUCUUAGAAGCUGAAUUCUACCAAAUAGAACCAAUGUGUGAAGCCAUCCGGGAACUGCUGCAGAAACCCGACCCCGCGGUAAUCGAAGUUGAGGUCCGCUCUUUUCACGAUCAGAACACUUGGA